CACGUAGGGGGCGAGCGUUGUCCGGAUUUAUUGGGCGUAAAGAGCUCGUAGGCGGCUCGGUAAGUCAGGUGUGAAAACUCUAGGCUCAACCUAGAGACGCCACCUGAUACUGCCGUGGCUAGAGUCCGGUAGGGGAGCAUGGAAUUCCUGGUGUAGCGGUGAAAUGCGCAGAUAUCAGGAGGAACACCAGUGGCGAAGGCGGUCUCUGGACGGGCGAACUGACGCUGAGGAGCGAAGAACUGGGGGAGCGAACAGG
rnacentral:rRNA from 1 species